rnacentral:rRNA from 1 species
GACGAACGCUGGCGGCGUGCUUAACACAUGCAAGUCGAACGCUGAGGCCUGGCUUUUGUUGGGUGGAUGAGUGGCGAACGGGUGAGUAACACGUGAGUAACCUGCCCCCUUCUUUGGGAUAACGCCCGGAAACGGGUGCUAAUACUGGAUAUUCACUGGCCUUCGCAUGGGGGUUGGUGGAAAGGUUUGUUCUGGUGGGGGAUGGGCUCGCGGCCUAUCAGCUUGUUGGUGGGGUGAUGGCCUACCAAGGCUUUGACGGGUAGCCGGCCUGAGAGGGUGACCGGUCACAUUGGGACUGAGAUACGGCCCAGACUCCUACGGGAGGCAGCAGUGGGGAAUAUUGCACAAUGGGCGAAAGCCUGAUGCAGCGACGCCGCGUGAGGGAUGGAGGCCUUCGGGUUGUAAACCUCUUUCGCUCAUGGUCAAGCCGCAACUGUGGGUUGUGGUGAGGGUAGUGGGUAAAGAAGCGCCGGCUAACUACGUGCCAGCAGCCGCGGUAAUACGUAGGGCGCGAGCGUUGUCCGGAAUUAUUGGGCGUAAAGGGCUUGUAGGCGGUUGGUCGCGUCUGCCGUGAAAUCCUCUGGCUUAACUGGGGGCGUGCGGUGGGUACGGGCUGACUUGAGUGCGGUAGGGGAGACUGGAACUCCUGGUGUAGCGGUGGAAUGCGCAGAUAUCAGGAAGAACACCGGUGGCGAAGGCGGGUCUCUGGGCCGUCACUGACGCUGAGGAGCGAAAGCGUGGGGAGCGAACAGG